UUCAUCUCUGAGUAACUACGGCUACCCUCACCAAUCAAUCAGGAAAUCACCAAUUCACGAUCAUCAUCAAGUGAUUCAAGUCUUACUAGUUAGUAGCUAUCAAUCAAUCAGGUUAAGUGGUGACUGCCAAGGAUACCAAUUUUUUCUUCGUCUAUCAGAUUCAAUCUAAACCUUUUUGUUUCCAAGGUUGAGGUUGUCCUAUCCAAUCAAUG